UGGCGAAGCAGUGAUGAUCCCGACUCCCUUGUCCUUAAGGCUCGACUCUGUCCAAGACGUAGCGAAAGAUGGCCAGUGGAAGUCCGCUCAUUCCAAUGAAGCGGACUUUGCCUUGUCGUUUCAAGCCAAGCAGCGCUGGGAUCGUCUCGGAGAUCACCUGGGAAGAGAGGUAUCGUUCCAGAUAAGACUUUUGCUAAGCUAUCUUACUUGAUCGAGCGAGCCGAAUUCGAUGUCA